AGAGUUUGAUCAUGGCUCAGGACGAACGCUUGGCGGCGUGCGUAAUACAUGCAAGUAGAACGCUGAAGACUGGUGCUUUGCACUAGUCAGAUGAGUUGCGAACGGGUGAGUAACGCGUAGGUAACCUACCUUAUAGCGGGGGAUAACUAUUGGAAACGAUAGCUAAUACCGCAUGACAAUUAAGUACUCAUGUACUAAAUUUAAAAGGAGCAAUUGCUUCACUAUGAGAUGGACCUGCGUUGUAUUAGCUAGUUGGUGAGGUAACGGCUCACCAAGGCCACGAUACAUAGCCGACCUGAGAGGGUGAUCGGCCACACUGGGACUGAGACACGGCCCAGACUCCUACGGGAGGCAGCAGUAGGGAAUCUUCGGCAAUGGGGGCAACCCUGACCGAGCAACGCCGCGUGAGUGAAGAAGGUUUUCGGAUCGUAAAGCUCUGUUGUUAGAGAAGAACGGUAAUGGGAGUGGAAAAUCCAUUACGUGACGGUAACUAACCAGAAAGGGACGGCUAACUACGUGCCAGCAGCCGCGGUAAUACGUAGGUCUCGAGCGUUGUCCGGAUUUAUUGGGCGUAAAGCGAGCGCAGGCGGUUAUUUAAGUCUGAAGUUAAAGGCCGUGGCUCAACCAUGGUUCGCUUUGGAAACUGGAUAACUUGAGUGCAGAAGGGGAGAGUGGAAUUCCAUGUGUAGCGGUGAAAUGCGUAGAUAUAUGGAGGAACACCGGUGGCGAAAGCGGCUCUCUGGUCUGUAACUGACGCUGAGGCUCGAAAGCGUGGGGAGCAAACAGGAUUAGAUACCCUGGUAGUCCACGCCGUAAACGAUGAGUGCUAGGUGUUAGGCCCUUUCCGGGGCUUAGUGCCGCAGCU
rnacentral:rRNA from 1 species